rnacentral:pre_miRNA from 1 species
AUAAUACUCCCUCCGUCCGGAAUUACUUGUCAUCAAAAUGGAUGUGUCUAGAACUAAAAUACAUCUAGAUACAUCCAUUUCAAUGACAAGUAUUUUCGGACGGAGGGAAUAGUAG